GAGAGGAAGGUCCCCCACACUGGUACUGAGACACGGACCAGACUCCUACGGGAGGCAGCAGUGAGGAAUAUUGGUCAAUGGGCGGGAGCCUGAACCAGCCAAGUCGCGUGAGGGAAGACGGUCCUAUGGAUUGUAAACCUCUUUAGGCGGGGAGCAAUGCCGGGCACGCGUGCCCGGAGGGAGAGUACCCGCAGAAUAAGCAUCGGCUAACUCCGUGCCAGCAGCCGCGGUAAUACGGAGGGUGCGAGCGUUAUCCGGAUUUAUUGGGUUUAAAGGGUGCGUAGGCGGAUUUUUAAGUCAGCGGUAAAAUGUCCGGGCUCAACCCGGGCCGGCCGUUGAAACUGGGGAUCUUGAGUGGGCGAGAAGUAUGCGGAAUGCGUGGUGUAGCGGUGAAAUGCAUAGAUAUCACGCAGAACUCCGAUUGCGAAGGCAGCAUACCGGCGCCCGACUGACGCUGAGGCACGAAAGCGUGGG
rnacentral:rRNA from 1 species